UUUAGAUAAUGAUUAACGGGUCUUAGAGAUAUAGAAAGAGAAGAGAAUGAAGUGAUGAUUGAACUUUGUUUCCCUAUUGGUUUGAUC
rnacentral:sRNA from 1 species